AGACAAACGCUGAUAUUUUUUAUAUUAGAGGAAAGUCCAUGCUCGCACGGUCUGUGAUGAUUGUAGUGUUCGUGCUUAGGGAAAAAAUAACCUAAGGUAGCUUUUGCUAACGGCGGAAGAUAAUCUAAGUCUUUGGAUAUGAUUUAUUCUGUAAAGUGCCACAGAGACGAUGCUUUUGGAAACGAAAGAGUGAAACGUGGUAAACCCCGCGAGCGAGAAACCCAAAUUUGGUAGGGGAGCUCUAACAAAAGAAACGAAUGGAGUUAGGGACCAAGGAAUUGGUAGAUAAAUGUUUGUCGUCUGGAAACAGAAACAGAACAUGGCUUAUU
rnacentral:RNase_P_RNA from 1 species